GACGAACGCUGGCGGCGUGCCUAACACAUGCAAGUCGAGCGGGGUUGAAGCGAGAGGUAACUCGAACUUCUACCUAGCGGCGGACGGGUGAGUAACGCGUGGGCAACCUGCCUCAAGGUCUGGGAUAACAGCCCGAAAGGGCUGCUAAUACCGGGUAUGCUUGUGGCCUCGCAUGGGGCUAUGAGCAAAGGGGAAACCCGCCUUGAGAUGGGCCCGCGUCCCAUCAGCUAGUUGGUGAGGUAACAGCUCACCAAGGCGACGACGGGUAGCCGGCCUGAGAGGGUGACCGGCCACACUGGGACUGAGACACGGCCCAGACUCCUACGGGGGGCAGCAGUGGGGGAUCUUGCACAAUGGGCGAAAGCCUGAUGCAGCGACGCCGCGUGAGCGAAGAAGGCCUUCGGUUGUAAGACUCUGUCUGGAGGGACGGAAGGAAGUAGACGGUACCUCCGGAGGAAGGCCACGGCUAACUACGUAG
rnacentral:rRNA from 1 species